GUGGAAUUCCGAGCGAUUGCCGCGGGAAAAGAAAAGAGGGGGCUCUCCUUUCAACUUCUUCAAACUACAAAGUAGCUCCUCCUACUUCGUUCAUGUUUCUCUGUCGCUCUCCGUCUCCUUCUCUUUGCGGCUGAACCAGCGAGUCAGUCAGUCAGUCAUGACCACCCCUCUGUGCUUUCGUCUGGAGCAAGCUCUGAGGAGAUUCAGAAAGCAGAGACACAGCAUGAUGAAACCGUAGAAUAUAUGAUUAAUCCAUUGUAGAGGAGGGCAAACACUGUCAGCACUCAAGCAACUCUUGAUAGGGCGGAGGCAGCUCUGAAUUUGUUGUUGGAUGAGCUGCAUGAACAAGAAUGUUAUUUAUUUUUGUGAUCCCACAUUUUCAGACCCACAUUUUCUCUUAACGUGGCGAUUAUUCGACAUGAAGUUUUUCCACAUUUCGUAUCUUUCGUGACAAUCGCCCAUUUGAUAACCGUCUUGAUGGGAGACGGUGUAUAAAAGGAACGUACGUUCAUUU